rnacentral:rRNA from 1 species
GAUGAACGCUGGCGGCGUGCUUAACACAUGCAAGUCGAACGAUGAAAGCGGGAGCUUGCUCCUGCUGGAUUAGUGGCGAACGGGUGAGUAACACGUGAGCAAUCUGCCCCGAACUCUGGGAUAAGCGUUGGAAACGACGUCUAAUACCGGAUACGACGCGCGAAGGCAUCUUCUGCGCGUGGAAAGAACUUCGGUUCGGGAUGAGCUCGGGGCCUAUCAGCUAGUUGGUGAGGUAACGGCCCACCAAGGCGACGACGGGGAGCCGGCCUGGGAGGGUGACCGGCCACACUGGGACUGAGACACGGCCCAGACUCCUACGGGAGGCAGCAGUGGGGAAGAUUGCACAAUGGGCGCAAGCCUGAUGCAGCAACGCCGCGUGAGGGACGACGGCCUUCGGGUCGUAAACCUCUUUUAGUAGGGAAGAAGCGAAAGUGACGGUACCUGCAGAAAAAGCACCGGCUAACUACGUGCCAGCCGCCGCAGUAAGAC